rnacentral:rRNA from 1 species
ACUCCUACGGGAGGCAGCAGUGAGGAAUAUUGGACAAUGGGCGAGGGCCUGAUCCAGCCAUGCCGCGUGCAGGAAGAAUGCCCUAUGGGUAGUAAACUGCUUUUAUACGGGAAGAAAAGGGCACGUGUGCCCUGUUGACGGUACCGUAAGAAUAAGGACCGGCUAACUCCGUGCCAGCAGCCGCGGUAAUACGGAGGGUCCGAGCGUUAUCCGGAUUCACUGGGUUUAAAGGGUGCGUAGGCUGCUGUGUAAGUCUGUUGUGAAAGGCGCCGGCUCAACCGGGCGGACUGCAAUGGAUACUGCACGGCUUGAAUUGGGUUCAGGUUGGCGGAAUGCGGCAUGUAGCGGUGAAAUGCUUAGAUAUGCCGUAGAACACCGAUUGCGAAGGCAGCUGGCUGGGCCUAUAUUGACGCUGAGGCACGAAAGCGUGGGGGAGCGAACAGGAUUAGAUACCCUGUAGGUCAGUC